rnacentral:lncRNA from 1 species
GGGCGAGACUUCAUCUCAAAAAAAAAAAAAAAGAAAAGAAAAGAAAGAAGAGAGAAAGAGGAAAAAGAAGAAAGAAAGAAAAAGAAAGGAAGAAAAAGAGAGUCAUUGAGACUUGUGGCUUAAUGUUGUGAAUGUAUAUGUAUGUUUAACUGUAUAUAUAACCGUAUGUAUAUGUAUGUCUCACCAGAGAGAGAAAGGGAUUAAAAAAAAAAAAAAGCCAAAACCUACAAAGGCAAAGCAGAAGAAAGAGUACCAGACUGGAGAUAGCAAUAUAAUUACAGAAAAUGGGAAGUGACCGCACAGACCAGAGAAAUCAGAAACCUACAUCUGCCGGGGGUUGGGGUGUGUGUGUGUGUGUAGCCUCAAGGAUUUACUCCGUGCCAGCCACUGAUCUAAGGGUUGAAGGUAUAUUCACUUUCGCGAUCCCCCAAAAAUGCUAGCAGGAUUUGUACCCUAAUAUUGGAGACUAGGCACAGAAAGGUUUAAUUUGCCCCAGGUUACACAGCAGAAUCUGAACCUCUCCGAGGUUCGGCUCUAGAGACCACGCUUGACACAGCCUCACAGUCAUGAGUAAGCCCUUAGGGACCAAACCCCAGGAGACCUCAGGCUGGCAGAUCAGGAGCACCGAAGUGGGCCUGGAAACAGGACUGGGGGAAAGUCUGGAGGAAAAGAGACCCUCGGAAUCCUUCCCCAUUUUACUUAGGCAGGCAGCUGCCCUCUGCUCCCGGGCAGAAGGCUGUGGGUUUCUUUAGGAGGCUUUCCCCAGUUGAGGAUGGGGUGAGACACCUAUUAAAACAAGAGAAUUUAGGCAUGAGCCACUGCGCCCGGCUGACACAGAGCUGAAGUUCUAUCCUUCAUGUCGCAUUGUAUCUGGAGACAGCGUCUGCAUAGGUCACUAGCAGUGAAGCGAAGUUUGAUCACUUGGUGGAGGCAGUGACUGCUGGAUCUUUCCACUGUAAAGGCACACGUUUCCCUUCGCCAAUGACCUUCGGGUAACACACCCGGGCACAGUGUGAAUAUCCUGCGCAAUGCCUUACUCAGAUAUGGACAAUAAAGGAUGACAGGAAACGGAGAAAAAGCUUUCAACAUGAAAGAGUGAGACAGAAACAAACAGGAAAAAGCUUUCAACAUGAAAGAGGGAGACAGAAACAAACAGGAAAAAGCCGACUCAGAGGAAAGAGAGACCAUCGCAGGAAGCAAAAGAAAACUUCCCCUAAACAAUAAAUAGCCUUAAAAGUGAGAAUAUAUAUUACAUUCAUAAUUGACA